UACAGAGGGGGCAAGCGUUAUUCGGAAUUAUUGGGCGUAAAGGGCGCGUAGGCGGCUUGGCAAGUGGAAGGUGAAAUCCCACGGCUCAACCGUGGAACUGCUUGGCAUACUGGCGGUCUUGAGCAACCUAGGGGCGAGCGGAACAAAUGGUGGAGCGGUGAAAUGCGUAGAUAUCAUUUGGAACGCCAAUGGUGAAAACAGCUCGCUGGGGGUUUGCUGACGCUGAGACACGAAAGCCAGGGGAGCAAACGGG
rnacentral:rRNA from 1 species